rnacentral:lncRNA from 1 species
AGGGAGGGAGAUGGGGGUGCCCGGGCAGAAAAUCACUGCUAAGCUGCUGCUUUCUCCUUYGCGGCACAGGAGGAAGAAGUGAAGGAGAUGGUCAGAAGUGAGAUGAGUGGCAGAUGCGGUCUACGGGCAGCUAAAAUCAACAGGAAAUUCCAAGGGUAUUUUCAGUCUCGGGAACGCACAAGGAAGGAUAGUGAAAGCUGGAAAGAACUGCUUAAAAAAGCUCAGAACAUGACAACAUCAGCAACAUCGGAGGAGUCCUUCAUGGAACCAACUUCAUUUCUUACAGCAGCUUCCAGUGAUAAGCAGAUAAUGGAGCCCUCUCAGCACAAGCGCCACGAAGCCCACAGUCAAUUACCAGCACCYUGCCUGCAGCCGAUGGAUGAAGGCUCCUGCCAGCGGUACGCUCUGCUCUGGUAUUACCACCCGGAGGCAGAUGCCUGCCGGCCGUUCGUCUUCGGGGGAUGCCRAGGGAACGGCAACCGGUUUGAAACCAAAUGGAAGUGCGAGCAGCAGUGUAAAACGGCAGCAGGUAAGGGAGCCCUCUCCUUGGCAUGGGACCAACCCUCCUCUUCCUCCAGCCUUUCUCCAUACRGAGGUUCCCGCACUCCUCAGUUUACAGAGCAGCCUGGGGAGCAGGGGGGUGUCACACACAUGGGAAUGGKCAUCCCCUGCCCAGCACGGUGAGGAAGACAAGAAGUGGAAGCAAAACAAACCCAUCCGUGGUUUGACCACCUCCAUUUCUUUAUGGUGUCCCACCAGGACAAGGCAGGAGGGCUCAGGGAAACUCCAGUCCCUGGCAGGAGAAGSCAGCCUUGCUUACACUCGUGAGACAGGACAAUAAGAGGCUGCAGCUGAUUUGGAGGAGCAGGGGGACAGAGAUGGAGGCCGGAUGCAAAAGGGAGAGUCACCUCUAACCUCCUGUAGAUUCACCCAUCCCUUUACCCAAGGGAGAACAUGCCCUGCUCACCGCAGGCGUGCCUGUMGUUUGUAAGGUCUCGUUCUCCUGCUCCCAGCGCACAUCUCACCCUGGUCCCCCUUAGCCCCUCUGSGAGCUCCUGCACGUCUCCUCCCUUGGACUGCGUCUGGUGACAGGAUACAGGUGAAUCUGUGGGAGCAACCGAAGAGGAGGGUCCGGGUGGGACCGGAACUGCAGGUGCUGGGCCCUGCUGGUUUGCAUGCCUUGGUCUCUGUCACCUCAUGCCACAUGCACCCAGGAGCUGGAUCCCAACCCAGGCCACCAGCUAGAGCUGGUGGGGUGGCAGAGCCCGAUGCGCUGUGCUAGGAACGGGUGAGCACUUGACAGGGCUUGGGAGGGGAGGGAGGUGAAAAUGCAAUGUUUGGUCCUGGGCACAGCACCCUUGAAGUCUUGUCCUGUCCAAGGUGAGACCAGCAGAUUAGGAAGUUUUCAGUUAGGAUCCAGGACGCCAGAGAAGUUGUGGCUAGCCRUGGGGCUCCCACCAUGACCUUACCCAGAAACACUUUGGAGGUCUGAGGUUUGCAGGGAUUCGGGGGCUGGUGCCCACUCAACCCUGGACUGCUUUGUCCAAGUGUCUCUCUGGUCUCUGCAGCCACCAGGGACUCAGGGCAGAGUCCGAAGCUGGCGGAGCRGCACUGAUCCAGACCAUCUAGUGAGCAGUCCGCAGCACUCCCUGCAUCCAGAGUCGGGCCUCAUCCAGCGGGUCACUGGACAAAACUCACUCCUGGAAGCACAUCCAGGCUCCUGUUUGCUGUGUUGGUCUGCACAGCUCAUCCUCCUCUCUGGAGGAAGCUUGGCCGCUCGCYGCAGGGGAAAUUACCUCCUGCAACUGCUGGCCCUGACAGCAGUGCAAACAUCACUGCUGCUGAGCAGUGUGUUAGCUGCCACUGAUGCAAGCUUUCCUAGAAGGAUGUUCCUCUGUCAGUCUUUUCUCUGCGUGGAGAAAACUCUCUGGGCCGAAAGMGAAAUGCAUUAGUUCUCCAAAAUAAAUUUUAAAAAUUCUAAUGGGGUUCA